rnacentral:rRNA from 1 species
AGCGGCGAACGGGUGAGUAACACGUGGGUGAUCUGCCUCGUACUUCGGGAUAAGCCUGGGAAACUGGGUCUAAUACCGGAUAUGACCUUCGGAUGCAUGUCUGAGGGUGGAAAGAUUUAUCGGUACGAGAUGGGCCCGCGGCCUAUCAGCUUGUUGGUGGGGUAAUGGCCUACCAAGGCGACGACGGGUAGCCGGCCUGAGAGGGCGACCGGCCACACUGGGACUGAGACACGGCCCAGACUCCUACGGGAGGCAGCAGUGGGGAAUAUUGCACAAUGGGCGAAAGCCUGAUGCAGCGACGCCGCGUGAGGGAUGACGGCCUUCGGGUUGUAAACCUCUUUCGACAGGGACGAAGCGCAAGUGACGGUACCUGUAGAAGAAGCACCGGCCAACUACGUGCCAGCAGCCGCGGUAAUACGUAGGGUGCGAGCGUUGUCCGGAAUUACUGGGCGUAAAGAGCUUGUAGGCGGUUCGUCGCGUCGUUCGUGAAAACUUGGGGCUCAACCCCAAGCUUGCGGGCGAUACGGGCGGACUAGAGUACUUCAGGGGAGACUGGAAUUCCUGGUGUAGCGGUGAAAUGCGCAGAUAUCAGGAGGAACACCGGUGGCGAAGGCGGGUCUCUGGGAAGUAACUGACGCUGA